rnacentral:rRNA from 1 species
AUGUGGGCCAAAAUUCUUUUAAACAAAUAUGUUAAAGGAAAAUGUAUCUCUGGAGUUAAGAAGAAACCUGGGGACUCUCAUUUUUGGGGAGAUCUGAUGCAGAUCAAAGACAUUUAUUAUAAAAAUGUUAAGAAAAAAUUAGGAGAUGGACUAAAUACUAGGUUUUGGGAAGAUUGAUGGGUAGGAUCAAAACCAUUGAAAGAGGCCUACCCUAGCCUGUAUGACAUUAAUCUAAACCAUGACAUUUCAGUGGCCCAGGCCAUUAACAUGAGAUGGGAGGGUUUUAAGUUCAGAAGAAAUUUAUCUGCAGAUAAAAGAGCUCUUUGGGAGAGUUUGAAAAGCAGAUGUGAAGAGGUGAGAAUGUAUGAGGGCAAAGAUCAGCCGUUAUGGAUGCUGACAGCCAAUAGACAAUUCACUGUGAAAUCGUUGCAUCAACAGCUGAUUAAAACAGACGUGGGUUUCCCACACAAAUUUCUUUGGAAAGUGAAAACCCCAGCGAAAAUCAAGAUGUUUCUGUGGCUGAUUGCCAGGAAAAGUAUACUAACCAGAGAUAACCUUGCAAAAAGGAUGGAAGUGUGA